UACGGGGGGGGCAAGCGUUGUUCGGAAUUACUGGGCGUAAAGGGCUCGUAGGCGGCCAACUAAGUCGGAUGUGAAAUCCCCAGGCUUAACCUGGGAACUGCAUCCGAUACUGGAUGGCUUGAAUCCGGGAGAGGGAUGCAGAAUUCCAGGUGUAGCGGUGAAAUGCGUAGAUAUCUGGAGGAACACCAGCGGCGAAGGCGGCGCUCUGGGCCGGUACUGACACUGAGGAGCGAAAGCGUGGGUAGCAAACAGG
rnacentral:rRNA from 1 species